CGUGUAGGCUGCUCGGAAAGUCGGAUGUUAAAGCCCUGGGCUCAACCUAGGAAGUGCAUUCGAAACUUCCGAGCUGGAGUGCUGGAGAGGAAGGCGGAAUUCUCGGUGUAGAGGUGAAAUUCGUAGAUAUCGAGAGGAACACCGGUGGCGAAGGCGGCCUUCUGGACAGCUACUGACGCUGAGACGCGAAAGCGUGGGGAGCAAACA
rnacentral:rRNA from 1 species